rnacentral:sRNA from 1 species
ACCAGGUACAGUGGAGCAUGCCUAGAGUCCUAGCUACCCAGGAGGCUGAGGCAGGAGGAUCUCUUGGGCCCAGUAGUGUAGGGCCUGCCUGUGCAACAUAGUGAGACCCCAUCUCUU